rnacentral:rRNA from 1 species
AUGAACGCUGGCGGCGUGCCUAAUACAUGCAAGUCGAGCGAACGGACGAGAAGCUUGCUUCUCUGAUGUUAGCGGCGGACGGGUGAGUAACACGUGGAUAACCUACCUAUAAGACUGGGAUAACUUCGGGAAACCGUAGCUAAUACCGGAUAAUAUUUUGAACCGCAUGGUUCAAAAGUGAAAGACGGUCUUGCUGUCACUUAUAGAUGGAUCCGCGCUGCAUUAGCUAGUUGGUAAGGUAACGGCUUACCAAGGCAACGAUGCAUAGCCGACCUGAGAGGGUGAUCGGCCACACUGGAACUGAGACACGGUCCAGACUCCUACGGGAGGCAGCAGUAGGGAAUCUUCCGCAAUGGGCGAAAGCCUGACGGAGCAACGCCGCGUGAGCGAUGAAGGUCUUCGGAUCGUAAAACUCUGUUAUUAGGGAAGAACAUAUGUGUAAGUAACUGUGCACAUCUUGACGGUACCUAAUCAGAAAGCCACGGCUAACUACGUG